rnacentral:lncRNA from 1 species
AUGAUAUUAUACAGAGAGAACAAGUAGAAGGGAUUGAAAUUGGGUUAUCAGAUGAUGAGUUACCUAAACAGGUCCAGGGAAAACUAAUACACCUCAGAGAAAGAUUGAAGCAAAGGGAGUUGUGAAAUGUAAAUGCUUCUAAACAUACAUUCUUAGACCUUGGAAUUGUAUUUGAUUUCUUGCUGAGUUGGGAAGUGGCAUUCAAGUAGUGAGCAUUGCAAAUAGCUUUUAGUUUUUUUAUUU